AUUGAACGCUGGCGGCAUGCCUUACACAUGCAAGUCGAACGGCAGCACGGGAGCAAUCCUGGUGGCGAGUGGCGAACGGGUGAGUAAUAUAUCGGAACGUGCCCAGUCGUGGGGGAUAACGUAGCGAAAGCUACGCUAAUACCGCAUACGAUCUAUGGAUGAAAGCGGGGGAUCGCAAGACCUCGCGCGAUUGGAGCGGCCGAUAUCAGAUUAGGUAGUUGGUGGGGUAAAAGCCUACCAAGCCUUCGAUCUGUAGCUGGUCUGAGAGGACGACCAGCCACACUGGAACUGAGACACGGUCCAGACUCCUACGGGAGGCAGCAGUGGGGAAUUUUGGACAAUGGGCGCAAGCCUGAUCCAGCAAUGCCGCGUGCAGGAUG
rnacentral:rRNA from 1 species